rnacentral:rRNA from 1 species
GUCUUUUUGAUAAUAAUUUAAAGUCUGGCCUGCCCACUGAGGAGUUAAAUGGCCGCGGUAUUUUGACCGUGCAAAGGUAGCAUAAUCAUUAGUUUUUUAAUUGAAAGCUGGUAUGAAAGGUUGAAUGAAAAAAUAGCUGUCUCUAAUUAAUUUUUUUAGAAUUUUAUUUUUAAGUUAAAAAGCUUAAAUGAGUUUAAAAGACGAGAAGACCCUAUAGAGUUUUAUAAAACAUUAUUUUUACGCUUUUAGUAUUAAUAACUUAAAAAUAUAGUUUUAUUUGAUUGGGGUGAUUGAAAAAUUUAAUAAACUUUUUUUAUAUUUAUUCAUUUAUUUAUGAUUAAUUGAUCCUAUUUUUUAGAUUAUAAGAUAAAAUUACCUUAGGGAUAACAGCGUAAUUUUUUUUGAGAGUUCAAAUCGAAAAAAAAGAUUGCGACCUCGAUGUUGGAUUAAAGUUAAUUUUUGGUGUAGAAGCUAAAAAAUUAGGUCUGUUCGACCUUUAAAACUUUACA